rnacentral:rRNA from 1 species
GAUGAACGCUGGCGGCGUGCCUAAUUCAUGCAAGUCGAGCGAACGGACGAGAAGCUUGCUUCUCUGAUGUUAGCGGCGGACGGGGGAGUAAAACGUGGAUAACCCACCUAUAAGACUGGGAUAAAUUCGGGAAACCGGAGCUAGUACCGGAUAAAAUUUUGAACAGCAUGGAUCAAAAGUGAAAGACGGUCUUGCUGUCACUUAUAGAUGGAUCCGCGCGGCAUUAGCUAGUUGGUAAGGUAACGGCUUACCAAGGCAACGAUGCAUAGCCGACCUGAGAGGGUGAUCGGCCACACUGGAACUGAGACACGGUCCAGACUCCUACGGGAGGCAGCAGUAGGGAAUCUUCCGCAAUGGGCGAAAGCCUGACGGAGCAACGCCGCGUGAAUGAUGAAGGUCUUCGGAUCGUAAAACUCUGUUAUUAGGGAAGAACAUAUGUGUAAGUAACUGUGCACAUCUUGACGGUACCUAAUCAGAAAGCCACGGCUAACUACGUG